rnacentral:rRNA from 1 species
AGUGAACGCUGGCGGUAGGCCUAACACAUGCAAGUCGAACGGCAGCACAGUAAGAGCUUGCUCUUACGGGUGGCGAGUGGCGGACAGGUGAGGAAUACAUCGGAAUCUACUUUUUCGUGGGGGAUAACGUAGGGAAACUUACGCUAAUACCGCAUACGACCUACGGGUGAAAGCAGGGGAUCUUCGGACCUUUCGCGAUUGAAUGAGCCGAUGUCGGAUUAGCUAGUUGGCGGGGUAAAGGCCCACCAAGGCAACGAUCCGUAGCUGGUCUGAGAGGAUGAUCAGCCACACUGGAACUGAGACACGGUCCAGACUCCUACGGGAGGCAGCAGUGGGGAAUAUUGGACAAAGGGCGCAAGCCUGAUCCAGCCAUACCGCGUGGGUGAAGAAGGCCUUCGGGUUGUAAAGCCCUUUUGUUGGGAAAGAAAAGCAGCAGGUUAAUACCCCGCUGUUCUGACGGUACCCAAAGAAUAAGCACCGGCUAACUUCGUG